UAGGGAAUCUUCCGCAAUGGGCGAAAGCCUGACGGAGCAACGCCGCGUGAGUGAUGAAGGUCUUCGGAUCGUAAAACUCUGUUAUUAGGGAAGAACAAAUGUGUAAGUAACUAUGCACGUCUUGACGGUACCUAAUCAGAAAGCCACGGCUAACUACGUGCCAGCAGCCGCGGUAAUACGUAGGUGGCAAGCGUUAUCCGGAAUUAUUGGGCGUAAAGCGCGCGUAGGCGGUUUUUUAAGUCUGAUGUCAAAGCCCACGGCUCAACCGUGGAGGGUCAUUGGAAACGGGAAAACUUGAGUGCAGAAGAGGAAAGUGGAAUUCCAUGUGUAGCGGUGAAAUGCGCAGAGAAAUGGAGGAACACCAGUGGCGAAGGCGACUUUCUGGUCUGUAACUGACGCUGAUGUGCGAAAGCGUGGGGAUCAAACAGG
rnacentral:rRNA from 1 species